AACGCACGAGACCUGCGGACCUGCGGAAGGAUCAUCGAAGAAUUAUUAUUUCCAAUUAUAAAAAAGGGGAGAGGAAAAAGGGGGGGAGGAACUCUCUCUAUAAGAGGCCUUCUCACUCUCUUUCUUUCUCCUUUUUUAUAAACAAACAAACAAUCGCAACUAUAACUAUAAAAAGGAUAAUUUGGUUUGGUUUGAAUGAAUGAAUGAAUGGUUUGAAUGAAUUUUUGUUUGUGAAGGAAA
rnacentral:misc_RNA from 1 species